CUCGUCGUUUGAACUUUAGACUUUUUAAAAGUAAAGGUCAAAACUCAUGGUGAGGUCCUCUGUUUAUAACGGUACAGCUGUCCAGAUUACAAAAGGCAUGCAGUGAAGUAGUUUGCACAUCGCUGCUCAAGUCCCCAGCUCACGCUCAGUUAUAAAGCAUGCGCCCGUGGGGAUUUUAGCCGAGGCUAAGUCAAGCUUUUGUCUUCUUCUUCUUCUUCUGUCGUGCAGGUCUGCCUUUGGAAGUCGUCAACAAAUGAAAUGCACCACAAGGAGCAAAAGGAAGCAAGAUGGCGGUGGAGGACACAGGAAAUAAGGUGAAGUGUUAAAUGGCGACGUGGUGAGCUAAAGGGCACGUGAAAGGAAGGCAUGCUUUGACUUGAGGGCCCUCCCGGGGAUGAUGACCUUCUUUCGCAUUCUGCUAACUUUGACAACUGACAACGAUCCCGGCCUGCCGUCCAACACGCACACACAUUGAAGUCCUGCAAUUUCCUUAAAGGCCAAACUGAUGCUACUUUUGUUAGCAUAGCUACAC